GCGUGCCACGUCACCACGUGUGCAGUAGCCGAGGAGGAGAAGUGGUAGAAGGGUAUCCAUACCUUGUUGCCUUCAUAAACUUUGAUAUUCGUUGAAUGUGACGGUGACUUUGGCAAUGGCCGCCUUUGUGUACCGGUGUGAGGGUGGUGCCUGCAAGGAAGUCCAGCAACUUGUUCAUGUGGGGUGGGAAGGAUUAUAACCUUGAAACAACCCACGUCAGCUGAUUGGUGUCAAGAGUUGAGGUCCAGCCUGAUGUGGGGUGGUUCACUUCACCUAAAGCACGGAGAGAGACCCAGCAUGGGCCCCGACAUAUCUCAUGAGUGAAGGAAAGCAGUCAGUUGCUCUACGUUUGGAAGAUGAAGUUUCGGUAUUUUUCAGUUUAAAGUUAAAUAUAUCCAAUGUGCUUUGGUGAGACAUUUGUGGCGCUGUGACUAGAUAAGUGAAUUCAAAUGAUUAAUAUGAUACCUUGCUGUUAUGACUCCAGGCUAGGGAACUAUUAGGACAGUACAGUGUUAUAUGAGUGUUUGUAUCCUGACAGCAGAACUGUUGUAGAUAUUCUGGAUGAGCCGGAAUUAACUGAAGGGAUCGGAUCUGCGGCACAUCACUGCUGGCCAUCGUGCGGCUGUGGGUGUGCGGGGAGCGGCUCGUGUAUGGGCAGACGCCAGUACCACACCAGGGGAAGACUGUUGUGACCCACGCUCCUGUAGAAUCUCAUAUUUGCCACUUGCGUUGGAAAUUGGAAAGGUUCUGGUGUGUCGGGACGUGAAGGCGUCACAAUCUCUCCCGCUGAGCGGUCCCCCCCUCCCACCGUGGAUUCCUGAUGCUGGCUACCGUUAGCUUAGAAUUUAAUUCUUAAUAAAAAGUUGAAUUACAAUACUCAAGUUGCUGUACAAGCCUCCGGCUCUCCUAGGACUGCAACUUUGGGCCUGCGAUGGGUAGCGGUGGUGAGAGGGGCAGCCUUGCUCUGCUGGAACGCCGAGCUUCUCAAAGUAGCACACACCACUGGGAUCCUGCAACGCCGAGCUUCUCAAAGUAGCACACA